ACCCUAUCAAGUACUACAUGGCUACAUUUCAUUGCUUUCUUCACAGCAAGCUUGUGAGCACCUUCCAUUUGUGACACUGAGAUAGCGACAGCCUAUUUCCUUUACUGUUCUUAUGUGUCAGCUGUGCGGUUGUGUUAUGUGUACGUUGUGAGUGCGGCGGUGAACAACCCCGCAUGACUGCCGCUGACGCUUACGGACUCUUCCAAAGCUUCUGCGGAUUUAUUCUGUCUGCACCGUGUAUUUUUUGUGCCCACCGGGAUCUAGCCUAUAUCUGCCUUGUUGACUACAAAUAGCCCCAAGUACUGAUUGCUGCUGGUUUGCUCAGUCCAGGAUCUGGCCUCACAAAUGCAAUGAGUCUUGGUGAAUGCAUCACUGUUGCCAUAGUGGCGUGCCAGACCCCUUCCAAGGUCAUCGGUCAGGUCAAGGUUAGCACGCAGUGCUGCGUGCCUCUAGCUGACAAGUCUGUCGGGUGCUCCCUGAAACCAGAGAGGGUGUCAAGGAGCAUGCAGACUGCAGAUGCUGAGGAUCAGACAAGCUCUACCUCAGAUCCCCGAGUCGCUGCGACAACGAUGUUCUGUGGUGCGGGCGCAUUCUUCCCGCACAGUCGGGUCGGCAGCACGACGUAGAUGCUCGCACGCCGUGUCGCGGCGCGGGCACGUUCAUCUUCUUGGGACAGCAGCAUCAAGGUCUAUUUCUCCAUCAACAGCCGAGGGUGACCAGGGAAGGCUCUGGAGCUGUCACCUCUGUGACCAUCAAACUAAAUAUCUGCAUGACCUUGAAAAACACACCAGGAUUCAUACUUGCGAGGGUCCGUUUAAGUGCCAUUUGAGCCCUCGGAGCUCCUCACAAAGGUCCAUCGUGAAAGCACAUCUGCCCACUGACACAUGCGAGAAGCCAUUUCAUUGCUCUUCAUGCCCUCAGAGUUUCUCACGAAAAACCACUUUGAAUGCACACGUGCGCAUCCACACGGGUGAGCGUCCAUUCAAAUGCAAUUUGUGCCCUAAGAGCUUCUCACAAAGGUCCACCCUAGAAGGACACUUGCGCACCCACACAUGCGAGAAACCAUUUCAGUGCCCUUCGUGUCCUCAGAAUUUUUCACAAAAGGGCCAUUUGAACAUGCAUUUGCGCAUCCACACGGGUGAGCGUCCAUUCAAAUGCUAUUUCUGCCCUAAGAGCUUCUCACGAAGGUCCACCCGGGAAGCACACCUGCGCACCCACAUAGGCAAGAAGCCAUUUCAGUGCCCUUCGUGCCCUCAGAGUUUCUCACAAAAGACCAGUUUGAACCUACACCUGUAACCCCGUUAUGUACCCCAUUACGUACCCCACUUGUAACCCCACUACGUGCUUCUAGGCAUCUUCAUAAUCAACUCAGCCUGACGAGAAUAUUUGGUAGAACUGAAGCUUUCAAUUCCUCAGCGUUACCACAAGCCAUAGCACU
rnacentral:misc_RNA from 1 species